rnacentral:sRNA from 1 species
ACUAGUGCGGAGUAAACCAACCGCGGAGCGGGGCUGGGGGCGGCAGCACGCUGAGCCGAAGAAUCAAAGCAAAGGAGAAAACAACAGCAAAACUCUAUUACAUAAGCCUCAAGAUUACAGACCCUACAGGAGAACACUGUGACCAAGAUGACGCUGUGCAGUCCUGACAUCACUUGGCCUCCAGCCUGGUUCAAUUUGCCUAGAGAGAUGUCCAAUACCCACAUACACCACCAGAGGGAGCCAAAUCCUACAAACUUGACUCAGCCUCCAGAGACCUUAAGUGUCUUAUUUGGAUCCGGACUCUCUUCAAAAAGAUUGCCUUGCAUAAACAUUUUGCCAUGAUAGCUCUUUCUAGGAAAUAGAUCUGACCUCCCACUUCUCUGUCUCACACCUUCAAAGGGUACGGAGCAUGACACACCUCCUUCCACAGGCACCUCGACUUUCCUAGUCUCCCAGCAUCCCCUUUUCCCCAUGCUUCCAUUUCUCUAACAUGCUGUCUCUUCUGUCCCUGUUACCCAUCAUCCUUCCCCAGUCCACUCUGUUCAACCACAAGCCAUACUUCUUAAACCACAUCUCAGCUAACUCCUAACCUUCUUGUUCCUCUACCAACCAUGACAAAAACUGUAUCUUGUGUUUCAAGUGAACAUCUCCAGCUCUCGGAGGCACUGAAAGGUCCCAGGGGACAAACCCUGCUGUAUAGGUGUGUACAUGCCCAGCCCUGCCAGGGAAUAAACUCUUGUGUGCUAACCUCAGGGCUCCUAAUUAAAGCCAUCCACCUGCGGCUCAUUUUGAGUGGCACCUUCAGAGGAUUGGAAGCAGAGUUCAUA